rnacentral:rRNA from 1 species
GACGAGGGAUCCUAGCGUUGCUCGGAAUCAUUGGGCGUAAAGCGGGUGUAGGUGGCUUGGUAAGUCAGAUGUGAAAGCCCAGGGCUUAACCCUGGAAGUGCAUUUGAAACUACUGAGCUUGAGUGCUAGAGAGGUUAAUAGAAUACCUGGUGUAGUGGUGAAAUACGUAGAUAUCAGGUGGAACACCGGAGGCGAAGGCGGUUAACUGGCUAGACACUGACACUGAGACCCGAAAGUGCGGGGAGUCAAACAGG